rnacentral:rRNA from 1 species
UUGAACGCUGGCGGCAGGCCUAACACAUGCAAGUCGAACGGUAACAGGAAGCAGCUUGCUGUUUCGCUGACGAGUGGCGGACGGGUGAGUAAUGUCUGGGAAACUGCCUGAUGGAGGGGGAUAACUACUGGAAACGGUAGCUAAUACCGCAUAACGUCGCAAGACCAAAGAGGGGGACCUUCGGGCCUCUUGCCAUCGGAUGUGCCCAGAUGGGAUUAGCUAGUAGGUGGGGUAACGGCUCACCUAGGCGACGAUCCCUAGCUGGUCUGAGAGGAUGACCAGCCACACUGGAACUGAGACACGGUCCAGACUCCUACGGGAGGCAGCAGUGGGGAAUAUUGCACAAUGGGCGCAAGCCUGAUGCAGCCAUGCCGCGUGUAUGAAGAAGGCCUUCGGGUUGUAAAGUACUUUCAGCGGGGAGGAAGGGAGUAAAGUUAAUACCUUUGCUCAUUGACGUUACCCGCAGAAGAAGCACCGGCUAACUCCGUGCCAGCAGCCGCGGUAAUACGGAGGGUGCAAGCGUUAAUCGGAAUUACUGGGCGUAAAGCGCACGCAGGCGGUUUGUUAAGUCAGAUGUGAAAUCCCCGGGCUCAACCUGGGAACUGCAUCUGAUACUGGCAAGCUUGAGUCUCGUAGAGGGGGGUAGAAUUCCAGGUGUAGCGGUGAAAUGCGUAGAGAUCUGGAGGAAUACCGGUGGCGAAGGCGGCCCCCUGGACGAAGACUGACGCUCAGGUGCGAAAGCGUGGGGAGCAAACAGGAUUAGAUACCCUGGUAGUCCACGCCGUAAACGAUGUCGACUUGGAGGUUGUGCCCUUGAGGCGUGGCUUCCGGAGCUAACGCGUUAAGUCGACCGCCUGGGGAGUACGGCCGCAAGGUUAAAACUCAAAUGAAUUGACGGGGGCCCGCACAAGCGGUGGAGCAUGUGGUUUAAUUCGAUGCAACGCGAAGAACCUUACCUGGUCUUGACAUCCACGGAAGUUUUCAGAGAUGAGAAUGUGCCUUCGGGAACCGUGAGACAGGUGCUGCAUGGCUGUCGUCAGCUCGUGUUGUGAAAUGUUGGGUUAAGUCCCGCAACGAGCGCAACCCUUAUCCUUUGUUGCCAGCGGUCCGGCCGGGAACUCAAAGGAGACUGCCAGUGAUAAACUGGAGGAAGGUGAGGAUGACGUCAAGUCAUCAUGGCCCUUACGACCAGGGCUACACACGUGCUACAAUGGCGCAUACAAAGAGAAGCGACCUCGCGAGAGCAAGCGGACCUCAUAAAGUGCGUCGUAGUCCGGAUUGGAGUCUGCAACUCGACUCCAUGAAGUCGGAAUCGCUAGUAAUCGUGGAUCAGAGUGCCACGGUGAAUACGUUCCCGGGCCUUGUACACACCGCCCGUCACACCAUGGGAGUGGGUUGCAAAAGAAGUAGGUAGCUUAACCUUCGGGAGGGCGCUUACCACUUUGUGAUUCAUGACUGGGGUG